UCACUUUCAACAACGGAUCUCUUGGCUCUCGCAUCGAUGAAGAACGUAGCGAAGUGCGAUAAGUAGUGUGAAUUGCAGAAUUCCGUGAAUCAUCGAAUUUUUGAACGCAAAUUGCGCUCCCUGGCAUCCCGGGGAGUAUGCCUGUUUGAGGGUCAGU
rnacentral:rRNA from 1 species